UACGAAGGGGGCUAGCGUUGCUCGGAAUCACUGGGCGUAAAGCGCACGUAGGCGGAUUUCUAAGUCAGGGGUGAAAUCCUGGAGCUCAACUCCAGAACUGCCUUUGAUACUGGGAAUCUAGAGUCCGGGAGAGGUGAGUGGAACUGCGAGUGUAGAGGUGAAAUUCGUAGAUAUUCGCAAGAACACCAGUGGCGAAGGCGACUCACUGGACAUGUAUUGACGCUGAGGUGCGAAAGCGUGGGGAGCAAACAGG
rnacentral:rRNA from 1 species